rnacentral:tRNA from 1 species
GCCUGGCUGGCUCAGUGGGUAGAGCAUGUGACUCUUGAUCUCUGGGUUGUGAGUUCCAGCCCCAUGUUGGGCA